rnacentral:tRNA from 1 species
GGGGAUGUGGCUCAGUGGUAAAGUGCUUGCCUGGCAUGAAUGAGUCCCUGGGUUCAGUCCCCAUCACCA